rnacentral:rRNA from 1 species
UACGAAGGGGGCUAGCGUUGUUCGGAUUUACUGGGCGUAAAGCGCGUGUAGGCGGGCUUGUAAGUUGGGGGUGAAAUCCCGAGGCUCAACCUCGGAACUGCCUCCAAAACUGCAAGCCUGGACUCAAGUAGAGGCAAGUGGAAUUGCGAGUGUAGAGGUGAAAUUCGUAGAUAUUCGCAGGAACACCAGUGGCGAAGGCGACUUGCUGGACUUGUAGUGACGCUGAGACGCGAAAGCGUGGGGAGCAAACAGG